rnacentral:rRNA from 1 species
GUCUUAUUGAUUUAUAUAGUAAGUCUGUCCUGCCCAGUGAUUUUUAAUUUAACGGCCGCAGUAUAUUGACUGUGCAAAGGUAGCAUAAUCAUUAGUCUUUUAAAAGGGGGCUGGAAUGAAUGGAUUGAUGAGAUAUCAACUGUCUCGUUAUUAUUAAUUGAACUUAAUUUUUAAGUUAAAAAGCUUAAAUUGUUUUGGAAGACGAGAAGACCCUAUAGAGCUUUAUUAAUCUUAUAUUUAUAUAUUUUUUGUAUUUAUGUAUAAUAAUUAUAAGUUUAAUUUUGUUGGGGUGAUGGUAAAUAAAUAUAUAACUUUUAUUAUUAAUUUUACAUUUAUUUAUGGUUUAUUUGAUCCAUUUUUUUUGAUUUUUAGACUAAGUUACCUUAGGGAUAACAGCGUAAUCUUUCCCUUGAGUUCUUAUUUUUGGAAAGGGUUGCGACCUCGAUGUUGGAUUAAGAUUAUAAUUAGGUGUAGCUGCUUGAUAUUUAGGUCUGUUCGACCUUUAAAUUCUUACAUGAUCUGAGUUCAGACCGG